UUCUAUUCUACCAAGAACCUCUUCACAUACAGAGUGUCUCAGGUAAGUCUAACUUUGGAGAUUCUCUACCAGUCAUCUUGGGUGACCUGAGGUAGCCACAUGAAAUGGCCAGAUUUGACAUCAUCCCUCUUCUGUGCCAGAAGGAACAAUUAGUCCUUCCAUAAAUAGAUCAAUAUUUGCUCAUGCUGUAGACUAUGGAAUCCAACCUGUAGUAUCCUUUCUGCAUGUUGGCACCAAGCCCACCUCAUGAAACCAGCAAUGGGCAUUUUUCUAAUUCUACUUUCAAAGGUCCCAUUAUGGGUAAUAGAAAAGAACAUGAAAAAGUCUAUACCUUUUUUUUUCUCCUGCCAUUUUCCAAAAGUUCAUCUUCAAAAGGCAGGAAAAUGAAGCCAACAGGCACUAGAAACAUCCUGCAUGGAAAUCAUUCAAGGCUCACAAGUUUAUUACGUAAAUGUUGUAGCUGCCAGGUAACCACAGGUCCCCUUCCUGGGAGGAUUCCUUGAGGCACCAGCAGAGCAGCUUCCAGAACACAAGUCGUUAAGGAGCACAAAAAUGUAUUUCAAAUGCACAACUGUAAUGCCUUCUGCAUUGAGACAUGUCUACAAUAAACAUGGUCCAACUGGAUUACCAACUGCACCAUAGACACAGUACCUGAAUUAAAUAGCAGAAGAUAAGAGACUUGAAUAUUUGUAGCCUUUGAACAUAUUCUUCUGAGAUAGGACAUUCUUUGUUCCCUAAACUUGUAUGGGACAUUAGAGUUUCCUACCCAGUAUGUCCCAGUGCUCAAACUAUUUUUUAUUAUCUUCAGAGUUUUUCUUUCUGUCUUAAUUAAAAGAGUAGUUUUUACAGAGCUACAGAAUAAAUAAAACUCUGACGUAUUUUCACAUUCACACGUUGAACAUUUCAUGUACGUUUGACAGUUCAAUAUUAAACCUAAAUUCCCUUCCCCCACCAUAAAUUAUGAAGCAUAUAUUGCCAUCUAGCGUCCUUCUGAAAUGACACUUCUGCCAAGAUUAUGAAAUAAAACAUGUUCAGCCAGACAAAGGAGAUGUAAAACUUUUG
rnacentral:lncRNA from 1 species